ACGGGUGCGUAACGCGUGGGAAUCUACCCUUAGGUUCGGAAUAACAGUUGGAAACGACUGCUAAUACCGGAUGAUGACGUAAGUCCAAAGAUUUAUCGCCUAGGGAUGAGCCCGCGUAGGAUUAGCUAGUUGGUGUGGUAAAGGCGCACCAAGGCGACGAUCCUUAGCUGGUCUGAGAGGAUGAUCAGCCACACUGGGACUGAGACACGGCCCAGACUCCUACGGGAGGCAGCAGUGGGGAAUAUUGGACAAUGGGCGAAAGCCUGAUCCAGCAAUGCCGCGUGAGUGAUGAAGGCCUUAGGGUUGUAAAGCUCUUUUACCCGGGAUGAUAAUGACAGUACCGGGAGAAUAAGCUUCGGCUAACUCCGUGCCAGCAGCCGCGGUAAUACGGAGGGAGCUAGCGUUAUUCGGAAUUACUGGGCGUAAAGCGCACGUAGGCGGCUUUGUAAGUUAGAGGAGAAAGCCUGGUGCUCAACACCAGAACUGCCUUUGAUACUGCAUCGCUUGAAUCCAGGAGAGGUGAGUGGAAUUCCGAGUGUAGAGGUGAAAUUCGUAGA
rnacentral:rRNA from 1 species